rnacentral:rRNA from 1 species
UACGUAGGGUGCAAGCGUUAAUCGGAAUUACUGGGCGUAAAGCGUGCGCAGGCGGUCCGCUAAGACAGAUGUGAAAUCCCCGGGCUUAACCUGGGAACUGCAUUUGUGACUGGCGGGCUAGAGUAUGGCAGAGGGGGGUAGAAUUCCACGUGUAGCAGUGAAAUGCGUAGAGAUGUGGAGGAAUACCGCUGGCGAAGGCAGCCCCCUGGGCCAAUACUGACGCUCAUGCACGAGAGCGUGGGGAGCAAACAGG